GGAUGACGGCUGCACGGUAGUUGUUUCAACUAGCGAAAUUAAGGACUUUAACUACGACAUGUUUGACCAAACUCAGGUUUAUUGGGUACGAUGGAAGCAAGACUUCUUCAGGGCACAAAUACUGAUGCUUAAAGAGAAUAAAGAAGACAUAGAGCAGGAGUUGUCUAAAGGCAAACGACUCCGGGUAGCACCUCUUAAAAAAACAUGGUCGUCGCCACCACAUACUACUUGUUACUCGCUAAAAGAGAGAGCGGAAGCUAAGACCAAAAAUGUGUGUUGUAAAGGUUAUAUUGUGUAACGUUAUUUGUGCACGUGUGUAUCUUACAGUGUGAUGGCAAAUGUCAUUGUCCAAUAAAUAUUUUAAACAAACUUA